UUUGGAGUUUGAAUUUUUUCUUUUAAAAACUUUUGAUCUUUUAGAUUGACUAGCUUCAGGUACUGAAGUUCCUUUGGAUCCAGAAUUUGAAGUCUCAGAUGUUGAAGCUUUCAGAACAUCUGAACUAAUGUUCUCAGGUUCUGAACAAUUUCUAUCUUCUGAACUUUUCUUUCCAGAUCCUGAGGCACUUGGUUCCUCUGAGCUGUCAGC
rnacentral:lncRNA from 1 species